rnacentral:rRNA from 1 species
AUUGAACGCUGGCGGCAUGCCUUACACAUGCAAGUCGAACGGCAGCACGGGGCAACCUGGUGGCGAGUGGCGAACGGGUGAGUAAUGCAUCGGAACGUGCCAUUGAGUGGGGGAUAACGUAGCGAAAGUUGCGCUAAUACCGCAUAUUCUGUGAGCAGGAAAGCAGGGGACCGCAAGGCCUUGCGCUCUUUGAGCGGCCGAUGUCAGAUUAGCUAGUUGGUGAGGUAACGGCUUACCAAGGCGACGAUCUGUAGCGGGUCUGAGAGGAUGAUCCGCCACACUGGAACUGAGACACGGUCCAGACUCCUACGGAGGCAGCAGUGGGGAAUUUUGGACAAUGGGCGCAAGCCUGAUCCAGCCAUGCCGCGUGAGUG